rnacentral:misc_RNA from 1 species
GAAAUGCGAUACUUGGUGUGAAUUGCAAAAUCUUGUGAACCAUCGAGUCUUUGAAUGCAAGUUAUGCUUAAAGCCAUUAGGUUGAGGGCACGUCUGCCUAGGCAUCUCACGUUGCAUCGUCCCUUCCCCUCCCCUAGAGGGUUGCGGAUGGAUGUUGGCCACUCACGAGCCCCCGUGCACUGUCGGCCUAAAAAUGAGUCCCCCGUAAUAGACGACGCGUCGCCACGAGUAGUGGUUGACAAACCAUUGUGUCGUGUCAUGCGCGUCCUGGUCGUCGCGGGAGGUCUAUUGUGACCCUAUCUUCGCCAUUGCCAAGGCAGUCUGAUUACAACCCCAGGUCAGGUAGGACUACUCGCUGAGUUUAA